GCAGCCGCGGUAAUUCCAGCUCCAAUAGCGUAUAUUAAAGUUGUUGCAGUUAAAAAGCUCGUAGUUGGAUUUCUGGGAGAGUGGCGAUGUCCGCUUAACGUGUGUGCAGCGGCGCUCUUCCAUCCUUCUGUUAGCGUCUCUUGGCAUUCAUCUGCUGGUGGCGGGCUCAGAUAUUUUACCUUGAGAAAAUUAGAGUGUUUCAGGCAGGCUAGGCCGGAAUACAUUAGCAUGGAAUAAUGGAAUAGGACUACGGUCUCUUUGUUGGUUUGAGGGACUGCAGUAAUGAUUAAUAGGGAUAGUUGGGGGCAUUAGUAUUUAAUUGUCAGAGGUGGAAUUCUCAGAUUUGUUAAAGACUAACCUAUGCGAAAGCAUUUGCCAAGGAUGUUUUCAUUGAUCAAGAACGAAAGU
rnacentral:rRNA from 1 species